UCUGGUCAUGAAGCGUUUCUGUACCAGACUGUUUCGCGAUAUUCUCUCUAUGACUUAGAAUCUUUUUUCAUACUAGGUGUUUAUCAUCUAAAUCUCUCGUAAGUAAUGUAAUUUAAAUAAAUAACUUAACCUUUUUAUCUUUUUAUUUUUAGUCUUAAAUAUUCAUAAAAUAUUAAGACGUUUAAAAUUUUUUAUUUUGUAUUUUGUGAGUUGUUCCAAUUAAGAAUUUUUUUAAAUUCUUCAAUUGGAGUGUCUAUUUAAUAAGUGCAUUUCGAAAAUCUACCUUAGCACAUCUAGCGGUUGAAACUGUUGUAAUACAAUAGUUUGUGACGUGUCACUAAGGAGAUCGUAGAAUGUAUCUUAAAUUUAAAUAGAUACGUGUUUGAUUGAUUGCACAAGAUACUGAUGGUUUAUUGAAAUCAUUACCCUAGCACAUCUAGCAGUUGAAAUUAUUGGUAAAACAAUAGUUUGUGACGUGUCACUAGGGAUUGAUUCUCAUAUUCCAUUACGUUCUUUUCGGCAAGCAGUUUUUGACUCUGUAAGGUCCGUGCAUCGACGAGAGUAAUCUCCGAUGGUGUAGCCAGCCUGUCUCUAACUCUGUCGACUCUCAUAUCAAACACACAAUUUCAUAAAAUAUUGAUAGUUUGUUGAAGUCAUUACCCUAGCACAUCUAGCGGUUAAAACUAUUCGUAAAAAAAUAGUUUAUAACGUGUCACUAGGGAUUGGCUCUCAUAACCUAUCUGGUUAUUUAAAUAUUCAUUUUAAAAUAUAAAGUAACACAUAUACUCAGACACCAAGCAUAGAAAGGAACCACAGUGAAGUAAUAUUUCAAGUUUAGUAAUUUACAUAAUUUUACAAAAUAAAUAAAUAGAUAAAAGUCAGUGCUCUUUUUAUUUAUAUCAUUUUUACAACAAACGAUCAAGCUAGCUGGACACAAGAAUGUGAUGCACUACCUUGUGAAAAUAUGCCAAAUGUCGUUAUAAUCUAACUAUAUGAGUAGCCUACGCUGGUUAAACAAGUAAUACUAUAUGCGUUACGUCGUGUAGCUUAAUCUGUGAAUAUUGUGCAAAUACCUCUCAAAAUUCAUGACCUUCACAAAAGUUUUCUUCAGAGAUACUUUUGUCUAGGCGUAUGACUCCAAUACUGUAUAUUGCUAGGAAAAUUCGCAAAGUAGUCGUGUUCGGUAAGUGAGGCAAGUGUUGGCGCUAUUAACCUAAUCAAACGUGGUUUAAACACGGUUAGCACCAAUAAAGUUGAUUCUAAGAAUGCCGGAAAACAUUUUGGACAAAGUUUUCCCGAACUUGACUGGAUGAAAAUUGCGUAAGUUAUUAUCGCCAGAAGCAGAAACAAGUACAAUAAGGGGACCAGUGUAGUGUAGUGGAAAGCAUUCGAAAACAUUGAGUUUCCUGACUGCUGACGUAUAAGGAUAAGGACUUAAAGCGAGUUUAUGUUUGAAGUUGGCGGACCGAGUGACUUUACAACGAUGACUUCGGGUGAGUUGCAAUCCAUGUUGCUAGUUUAAGAUUGGGGUCAUUAGAAAUUUAUUUAACGUCGGAUUUAGUGAAUGUAGGAUUUUUUGUGAAAAGGACUAGCUGAAGAUUUAGGACCUUGAUUGCUCUUAUCAGAAUUACACGAAUUAUCCGUGGAUAUUUGUGGGAUGGAAGUUUGCAAAGUGCUUCUACGACGCAGUGGUGCUGAUCACCUCCUUCAGGAUUAGGUCUUGAUUGCAUCCAGAGAAAAGGCGAAAUAAAUAUUAAAUAUGUAUCUAUGAAUUAUUACAUUGAUUAAUAAUGGUAUUUGUUCACGAUAAUUAUCAUUAUUAAUUUCCGACAUAAAGUCUUUCGUAUAACGAAAACGAACUGUUUCUU